rnacentral:lncRNA from 1 species
CGGGGCGGCAAAACGUCCGCCCGGGCCCGAGGCGGGCGGAGGCAGCUGUGGUUACGUGCGGGGGGCCGGUGACGCAGUCGCGGGGCGCUGGGACGCGGCUUGCGGAGCCGGCCGGCGAGCGCAGGCCCCAGGCUCGGGCGCGGCGGCGGGACAGCACCUACCUUCCCGGCUUCGGGUCCGGGAGUGCGGGGCGCGGAGCCGCCGGAGCGCUGCCUCCCUCCUUCCUCCUCCCCUCGCCCCCGCCCCGCGGCGCGACACACAAUACUCGCCGGAAGCGGAAGCCGCGCCGAGGCUCGUGUCAGUGGAAGCUGGGGUGUCGGCGGGCGGCCGCGGCCGGGUCUAGCGGUGCCUGCGGAAGAAGGAGGAGGAGGGCUGGCGAUGAGAAGCAGCAGGGGGAAUCAAGGGCAAGAAGGGACCCAGAGGGGCAGGUGGCUGAGAUGCUGGCGUCCAGGUGACCCGAGGAAUCCUCUGGAGAUACAGGCCCGCGCAUGCGCGUGCUCGAGCGCUGAAGCCCAUUGCCCGCAGGGCGCUGGACUGGCGCCCCGGCCGGCGAGGCUGUCUAGUCCAGGCUCCAGGCCCCGGCUCUGGCCAGGCGCCGCCGCCUCCCGGUGCAGCUGAAAGUCGACGAAGAGGGCGGGGCGGGGGCGGCUUGUGGACUUCCACACUUUUCCUCUCUUCGGGCCAGUCUGGGGAGAGGGUGGCUAGCUGUGGCGGCGGCCAAUUACGUGGCGGACCUGCGGGGCUAAGCUGGCACGUCACUUCCGACUAGUGGAGUUUUUAGCCUUUUAACAUUCAAGGAUUAGGUAAGUUCUCCCCGCGGUAGACUUCAAAUACUCUUUGUCCUGCCCCUGCUUGGCGAAAUUUACCGAAAUUAUCUACCUAUCCCGCUGGAGUGGGAGCCGGGGGAGAGCUGGAACCGCGUCUCUGCUGCUCACCUUUGUGUCCUUAGCUCCUUCGCAUGGGGUCCGACCGCAACACGUGCGCUGGAUAAACGCUUGUUAACUGGAGCUCCCUCUUUGCCCACUAGCAGGGCAUUAGCUGGUGCUGAAGACAGUGGCUGCUUGGCGAGCCUGGAUCUCCAAGUGACCCCCUCAGCAACUCCUGAUGAACAGGGACUUGCACUUAGGAAUCUGUUACAGUGAGCACAGAAGCAGACCUGUGGGCUCAUAGUCUUCACCCCCCACCCAUAUAUACAAGAUGAACAGAGUGGAGGUUAAACAACUUGACUAAACAACACAGUUCAUGGUAAAGCCCAAGACUGUACCUGCCCAUCCACUGCCUUUUCCAUGUAUCCUGGAACUGAGCAUAGACCUCUUCCCAGGCAGAGCUGACAGCAAGUAAAGGAGAUCAUAAUCAGGGGACCAAACAACUUUGUCUAAAGUGUGAAUGUCACCUAAGGAGAAGCUGUGAGAUCAGAAGGGUGGGGCAGAGGAGCAGACACCAUGAGGGAGAGUCCUUGGGGGUACAUCUGCCAGACUGACACUGUCUGGCCUGGGCAGUGGAGGGGCUAGCAGGAACCACAGGUACUGGUGGUGUGGCUACUACCGUUACAACUGCCUGUGCUUGGACAUGGACCCUCUGCAAUAUGCGGCAGUUUCAUUCAUUGCCCCCUACAUUCUACACCAAGUAGAAAUGGAAGGCAAUUGGAUACUUCACAGACAAGAUCUAAGUGGAGAAGGAAUGCGUCCUGUGGCUGCAGAGAUCCUUGGAGCUUGGAGGGGAGAGCUUGAGCCCCACUGAUGAUGACCUCCCACAGCUCGCCAACUCAGCCCUCCCUAAGUCCCCAUCGGGGGCCAAUUCUCACUCUGGGGUUGGGGGGACUCCACCAUAGCUCAUCCAUCAUAGGGAUGUUGGUAUCUACUGUGGGUUGGGUAGGGCCGAUGUGCUGAGGAUGGCUCCCCCACAAGCAAGAGAUGUGGAUUUGGGGAGCUUCCCAUCUUGUGUUGAAGGAACAUAACUCAGAAUAAUAAGAGCCAACUAUAACAAACCCACAGCCAACAUCAUACUGAAUGGGCAAAAGCUGCAGGCAUUCCCCUUGAAAAGUGGCACAGGAUAAGGAAGCCCUUUCUCACCACUCCUAUUCAAUAUAGUGUUGAAAGUCCUGAUCACAGCAGUCAGGCAACAGAAAUAAUAAAGGGCAUCCAAAUAGGAAGAGAGGAAGUCAAACUAUCCUUGUUUGCAGACAGUAUGAUUCUAUAUCUAGAAAACCCCAUAGCCUCAGCCCAAAAGGUCCUUCAUCUGAUAAUUUCAGCAAAGUUUCAGGAGACAAAAUCAGUGUACAAAAAUCACUAACAUUCCUAUACACAGUCGCCAAGCCAAGAGCCAAAUCAGGAGCACAAUCCCAUUCAUAAUUGCCACAAAAAAGAAUAAAAUACCCAGGAAUGCAGCUAACCAAGGAAGUAAAGGAUCUCUACAAUGAGAAUCACAAACGCUGCUCAAAGAAAUCAGAGAUGACACAAACAAAUGGAAAAACUUUCCAUGCUCAUGGCUAGGAAGAAUCAAUAUCAUUAAAGUGGCCAUACUACCCAAAGCAAUUUAUAGAUUCAAUGCUAUUCCUAUCAAACAAUUACAUUUUUCACAGAACUAGAAAAAACUUAAAAUUCAUAUGGAACCAAAAAGCCUGAGUAGUCAAGGCAAUCCUAAACAAAAAGAACAAAGGUGGAGGCAUCACAUUACCUAACUUCAAACUACAGGGCUACCAUGACCAAAACAGCAUGGUACUGGUACAAAAGCAGACACACAGACCAGUGGGACAGAAUAGAGAGCCCAAAAAUAAGGCCACAAACCUACAGCCAUCUGAUCUUCAACAAAGUUGACAAAAACAAGCAAUGGGGAAAGGUCUCCCUAUUCAAUAAAUGGUGCUGGGAUAACUGGCUGGCCAUAUGCAGAAGAUCGUAACUGGACCCCUUUUACUAUGUACAAAAAUUAAGAUGGUUUAAAGAGUUAAAACCCAAAAUUAUAAAAAUCCUGAAGAUAACUUAGGCAAUACCAUUCUGGACAUAGGAACUGGCAAAGAUUUCAUGAUGAAGACACCAAAAGCAAUUGUAACAAAAGCAAAAAUGGACAAAUUGGAUUUAAGAGCUUUUUCAUAGCAAAAUAAACAACAGGGCAGACAAUCUACCAAAUGACAGAAAAUUUUUGCAAACUAUGCAUCUGACAAGGGGCUAAUAUCUAGCAUCUAUAAGGAAUUUAAACACAGUUACAGG